rnacentral:rRNA from 1 species
CCUACGGGAGGCAGCAGUAGGGAAUAUUGCUCAAUGGGGGAAACCCUGAAGCAGCAACGCCGCGUGGAGGAUGAAGGUUUUAGGAUUGUAAACCCCUUUUGUUAGAGAAGAUUAUGACGGUAUCUAACGAAUAAGCACCGGCUAACUCCGUGACAGCAGCCGCGGUAAUACGGCGGGAGCAAGCGUUACUCGGAAUCACUGGGCGUACAGAGUGCGUAGGCGGGGUAAUAAGUCAGAUGUGAAAUCAUGUAGCUUAACUACAGAACUGCAUUUGAAACUGGUACUCUGGAGUGUGGGAGAGGUAGGUGGAAUUCUUGGUGUAGGGGUGAAAUGCGUAGAUAUCAAGAGGAAUACUCAUUGCGAAGGCGACCUGCUGGAACAUUACUGACGCUGAUGCACGAAAGCGUGGGGAGCAAACAGGAUUAGAUACCCGGGUAGUC